UACUGAACGAGUUCCAGAAAUUUAGGC
rnacentral:sRNA from 1 species